rnacentral:rRNA from 1 species
CCCAGGUGAGACGCCCGGUCCCAUUCCGAACCCGGAAGCUAAGGCCUGGCACGGCGAUGGUACUGCACCCGACAGGGUGUGGGAGAGUAGCACGCCGCCGCAC